rnacentral:rRNA from 1 species
UACGAAGGGGGCUAGCGUUGCUCGGAAUCACUGGGCGUAAAGCGCACGUAGGCGGAUUGCUAAGUCAGGGGUGAAAUCCCGGAGCUCAACUCCGGAACUGCCUUUGAUACUGGCGAUCUUGAGUCCGGGAGAGGUGAGUGGAACUGCGAGUGUAGAGGUGAAAUUCGUAGAUAUUCGCAAGAACACCAGUGGCGAAGGCGGCUCACUGGCACGGUACUGACGCUGAGGUGCGAAAGCGUGGGGAGCAAACAGG